CUGUCUUUCUCGGCCUUUUGGCUAGGAUCAAGUGUAGUAUCUGUUCUUAUCAGUUCUUAUCAUUAGAUUGUCCCCUAUCUGGGGACCAUAUGUUAAAUGGAUAUUCUGAACAGGGAGAUGGAAGAAGAGAUUGCUCUGUCCACUCCAUGCUUUAGCCUAAUAUUACUGUUCCUCCAGGAGCGGUACUCCCUUC